UAAGCUUGAUAUUGUAAUCAUUAUCAUAAAAUAACCCCCUUCAGGGUGAUCCAAGACCCUUGUCUGGGUUUAUUUUAUGAUGAUUACUGUAUGUUAUCUCCUGCUGUACUGCAUUUUUCCUGUUCAAACUGUACUCUUUCUGUAUACCAGAUCUUAAAAACACCAUCCAUUUUGUCUACUGUACAUUUAUGAUAUGUCAGUGCACAGCAACUGAUAAAGUGGUAAUUUUCAGUGUCUCUUUCUCACUCUGUGUAGAGGUGCAGUGUGAUGUACGUUGGAUGUCCCUGUCCAGCGGCAGCUCUCUGGUCUGUCUGUGGCUGAGUGGGAGUCAUCUCCUGCUCCACCACCAGGAGGCGCCACCGAGCACAGUGUCUCCCACAGUGAGGACAGGAGCCCCAGGACAGGAAGCCUUUGCCUCCAGUCUCGCUGAGGCAGUUCGUUCAGAUGCCUUGCGCUCCUCUGUGCACUUGGAGCAGUCUGGGGCAUGUGAGGGUUACUUUGCAGAAGACUAUCGUCCGCUGUGCUCUAUUGGAAAGGGAGCCUUCGGCUUUGUCUGGCUCGCUGCAAGAAGGAAAGAUGAACAGGAAGUGGUUGUGAAGUUUAUUAGGAAAAGUGCAGUGGUGAGUGAAGCGUGGUGGAUGAUCCUGAUCUGGGCCGGGUCAGUCAAGAAGUGGCUAUACUGGUUCGCCUGCAACAUCCCAAUAUUGUGAAGGUGCUGGAGGUGUUUGAGAAUGAGCGAUUCUUCCAAAUGGUCAUGGAGAAACAUGGGGAUGGCUUGACCUGUUUGAGUUCAUCGACAUGCAGCCGAGACUGGAUGAGCCUCUCGCGAGCUACAUCUUCA
rnacentral:lncRNA from 1 species